UACAGAGGGGCAAGCGUUGUUCGGAAUUACUGGGCGUAAAGGGCGCGUAGGCGGCCACCGCAAGUCGACUGUGAAAUCUCCGGGCUUAACCCGGAAAGGUCAGCCGAUACUGCGGGCUAGAGUGCAGAAGGGGCAACUGGAAUUCUCGGUGUAGCGGUGAAAUGCGUAGAUAUCGAGAGGAACACCUGCGGCGAAGGCGGGUUGCUGGGCUGACACUGACGCUGAGGCGCGAAAGCUAGGGGAGCGAACGGG
rnacentral:rRNA from 1 species